AAUGUGAGCAGGAGCAGAAGCAGUGCUGGCCACCAUUUGCUGAGCCCCUGAGAGCCCACUGUGUGCCAGGAACCUGACCUACAUUCUCCACCGCCCUGACAGUACACUGCUGGAGUGCAAUGGCGCGAUUCUCGGCUCACUGCAACCUCCGCCUCCCGGGUUCAAGCGAUUCUCCUGCCUCAGCCUUCUGAGUAGCUGGGAUUACAGGAUUGAAACUUUGCUGCCUGGUAUCCAGAACGUGCCCUGAAACACAGUAGGGGGAAUAUUCCACUUUCAAGCUCUUUCUUCUCAACUUCACCUGUGCCUCAGCUCCUGGCUUCAGACUUGCAUGCCUCAGUUUCCCCCAGGACUCCAGUUAACAGGGAUUUUGUGUCAACAGCGUCGUUUUCUGACUCUUGCUAACACUUGGGUGUUUGCUAGUUAACAGGCACUAAGUCCUUCCCAUCUACUACCUCAAGUGAAUCCUUUCCACAGCCCAGUGAGGUGGGUACAAUUAUCAUCAUCCCCACUUUACAGAUGAGGAAACCAACAGCAGAAAUAACCAGCCCAGUCUCCAAGCACAGUCAGUAAGUGGCAGGGGUGUGGCUGAAACUGAGAUGGCUGGUUCUCAGGAGCCCCCACUCCAGACUACUGUUAGAAGCAGCACGGUGCUCCUAUCUGCCUCUCAGAAGGUAGCCUCCCCACUUUGUGGAAUGUGGACAAGCCCUUGGAACUUGUUCUCCCACGUCCCCAUCACACUCCAAAUGGCUUUUCAAAGUAUUUCUUCCAGAUACAUAUGGUGUUUCUUCCAAACUAGACAUGUUUGGGAGAACAAAAUGUCCUCCAUUUUGUUACACAUUUAACAGAAAGCAGCUUAACUGGCCAGGCAUGGUGGCUCACCUCUGUAGUCCCAGCGACUCAGGUGGCUGAGGCUUGCUUGAGCCCAGGAAUUCCAGGCUGCAGGGAGCUCUGACCGUGCCACUGCACUCCAGCCUGUGUGACAGCAAAACCUUGUCUAAGAAAGAAAAGGAAAGAAAAGAAGGGAAGGAAGGAAGGAAGAAUGUGCCAGAGGCAUGUGAACCAGAGCAACUCUGUCUUGAACAGGAGCUGGGUAAAAUGAGGCUGAAACUUACUGGGCUGCAUUCCCAGACGGUUAAGGCAUUGUAAGUCACAGGAUGAAAUAGGAGGUCAGCACAAAAUACAGGUCAUAAAGACCUUGCUGAUAAAACAGAUUGCAGUAAAGGAGCCGACCAAAACUCACCAAAACCAAAAUGGCCACGUGAAGAAGGUCAUCUUCACCGCUACACUCCCAGCAGUGCCAUGACAGUUUACAAAUGCCAUGGCAACGUCAGGAAUUUACCCUCUAUGGUCUAAAAGGGGAGACUUGAAUAAUCCUCCCUGCCUCAUUUAGCAUAUCAUCAAGACAUAACCAUAAAAAUGGCCAACUAGCAGCCCUCUGGGCUGCUCUGUCUAUGGAGUAAUCUUUUUUUUUGAGAUGGAAUUUCACUCUUGUUGCCCAGGCUGGAGUGCAAUGGCGUGAUAUUGGCUCACCACAACCUCCGCCUCCCAGGUUCAAGCGAUUCUCCUGCCUCAGCUUCCCAAGUAGCUAAGGUUACAGGCAUGUGCCACCAUGCCCAGCUAAUUUUUUAUUUUUAGUAGAGACAGGGUUUCUCCCUGUUGGUCAGGCUGGUCUUGAACUCUCCUUUUUUUUUUUUUUUUUUUUUUUUUUGAGACAGAGUCUUGCUCUGUCACCCAGGCUGGAGUGCAGUGGUGCGAUCUCGGCUCACUGCAACCUCCGCCUCCCAGGUUCAAGCAAUUCUUCUGCCUCAGCCUCCCGAGUAGCUGGGACUACAGGCACCUGCCAACACGCCCGGCUAAUUUUUUGUAUUUUUAGUGGAGAUGGGGUUUCACCGUGUUAGCCAGGAUGGUCUCGAUCUCCUGACCUCGUGAGCCACCCGCCUCGGCCUCCCAAAGUGCUGGGAUUACAGGCGUGAGCCACCGCGCCCGGCCCUGGUCUUGAACUCUCAACCUCAGGUGAUCCGCCAGCCUCGGCCUCCCAAAGUGCUAUUACAGGCGUGAGCCACUGCACCCGGCUGCCAUUCUUUUAUUCCUUUACUUUCUUAAUAAACUUGCUUUCACUUUG
ensembl:lncRNA